rnacentral:rRNA from 1 species
UACGUAGGGGGCUAGCGUUGUCCGGAAUCAUUGGGCGUAAAGCGCGUGUAGGCGGCCCGGUAAGUCCGCUGUGAAAGUCGGGGGCUCAACCCUCGAAUGCCGGUGGAUACUGUCGGGCUAGAGUGCGGGAGAGGCGAGUGGAAUUCCUGGUGUAGCGGUGAAAUGCGCAGAUAUCAGGAGGAACACCAAUUGCGAAGGCAGCUCGCUGGAUCGUAACUGACGCUGAGACGCGAAAGCGUGGGGAGCAAACAGG